UCAAAUUUAAAGUUUUAGAGAUACCAUAUUAAAAUUUUAGACAGAGAAACUAUCUCAAAUCUUAAAUUUUAGAUAGAGAAAGUAUUUGAAAAUUUUAGAUAGAUAUACUACAUUAAAUUUUAGAGAGAGGAACUACUUAAAAUUUUUUAGAGAGAAAAUAUCUCAAAAUAUUUAGAUAAAGAAACUACCAAAAAACUUUUAGAGAGAAAAACUGUCUCAAAUUUUAAGUUUUAGAGAGAGAAAAUAUCUUAAAAUUUUAGAGAGAAAAACUAUAUCAAAUUUUAGAUAGAGAAAGUACAUGAACUAUUUAGAGGGAGAAACUAUUAAAAAAGAUUUAGAUAGAGAAACUAUAUCAAAUUUUAAGUUUUAGAGAGAGAAAGUAUAUCAAAAUUUUAGAGAGAGAAACUACCUGAAAAUUUUAGAGAGAAACUAUAUCAAAUUGUAAGAUUUAGAGAGAGAAACUAUCAAAUUUUAGAUAAAGAGUACCUAAAAUUUUUAGUUGAAAAUUUUUAGAUAGAAAAACUAUUUCAAAUUUUAAGUUUUAGAGAGAGAAAGUAUAUUAAAAUUUUAAAGAUAAACUACCUCAAAAUUUUAUAGAGAGAAACUAUAUCAAAAUUUAAGUUUUAGAGAGAGAAAGCAUCUUACAAUUUUAAAGAGAGUAACUAUAUCAAAUUUUAGAGUGAGAAAGUACUUUAAAUUUCUUAGAAAAAGAAACUAUCUUAAAAUUUUUAGAAAGAAACUAUCUCAAAUUUUUAAUUUUAUUUAGAGAAAGUGCCUUAAAACUUUAGAGAGAGAAAUUAUAUCAUAUUUUAGAGAGAGA
rnacentral:lncRNA from 1 species